rnacentral:rRNA from 1 species
UACGGAGGGGGCUAGCGUUGUUCGGAAUUACUGGGCGUAAAGCGCGCGUAGGCGGCUUAGCAAGUUAGAGGUGAAAGCCCGAAGCUCAACUUCGGAAUUGCCUUUAAAACUGCAAAGCUAGAAUCAUGGAGAGGUGAGUGGAAUUCCGAGUGUAGAGGUGAAAUUCGUAGAUAUUCGGAAGAACACCAGUGGCGAAGGCGACUUACUGGACGAUUGUUGACGCUGAGGUGCGAAAGCGUGGGGAGCAAACAGGG